CCAUUGUUUACCUACGGAAACGAUGACCUCCAGAGGUCCUGUCAACUAUCUGAUUGGAUGACUGUCUCACAAUGUUUACUGCCUCCUUUGUCUCUUGAACCUGUAACAGCGAGUCCCCGAUUCGCCUCACAGAUGUCUUUGGCUUUCACGGACCACCAUAAUGUUUGACAGAGUGACCCUGGGACCCCAGCUUCCUAGUCUGAGUCCCCCCUUCCC
rnacentral:lncRNA from 1 species